rnacentral:lncRNA from 1 species
ACAAAAAACUAAAAUAUUAUUAACUUAAUAAAAACAUCCACUACAUAAUCAUUCAUUAUCUUUACAAUUAACUAUCUAAAGCUACCACAGUUCUUCAAUCAAAGUAUAUAUCUACAUAUAUAGAGAGAGUACACUUCAUAAUUUCGUCCAUUGUCUUCCGUAAACGUAGCACGGAAAUUUGAUAUUCAAUAUUGUAAGGCAGGUCGUAAAAAUAAUCUUCCUGCACACAUUUAAAAAUAAUAGCAAGUCAGAAAAAUGAAGCAAAUAAGUCAUCAGAGGCACUUAUAAGUUUGGACUGUACUCAAAUCUCCAUCCUUCCUCCAGACUGAAGCGACAAACAAAUUAUGUUCCAGAUAAUGUCCCCAAAGGGACGAGCAACAUUUUCAAGUUAAACAUAGCUACAGUAUUUUCAGCCCAGGUUUAAAGCAGAUAAAAUACUCCAGUUGUUGGUGCUAUGCUUGGAUUCUAAGGGAUGCAUGUAAUAUAAGAGAAAAAUUAGAUCAAAAGUAGAAGUAAACAUACAUAUUUUAAAAGACCAAUGAACUUUAAUUUUUUUUUCAGAAGCUUUAAUAAUACAUAAUGCAAUUGAAUAAGAAAGACUUUCAUCUUCGUUUUUGAGUACAUUCAACCAAAAAUUUCUCAAGUAAAAAAUCAACAGGAAACCAACUCUGGAAUAAUAAACUCAACAGAUACAUAUCAAAAGAUUUAAAUAAAAUCUGAUUACCGUGGCCAUACUAGGAUGAGCAUAAACUCCCCCUGGAGGAUAUGGAGCUGGAGUCCCAUAUGGAGGCAUUAGAGGGUGCUGAAUCAUCAUGUAAAUGUUAAAUAAAUUAAUCCUGUAACCAAGACAAUGAAACCAAGAAAGCAAUCAGAAACUCAUAGCAAAACAAAUAAAUACAGAUAAUCACCUGACCGCCCCACAAAUAGGGAUGGGAAGUAGGAGAAGCGACAGCGGAGGCAUAGAAAGCAGAAGAAGCUCCACGACCAUAAUAGGCCUAAACAGGAGACUGAGUUAUCAACUAUUGAGAUAAUAUAUGCAGGAUAUAUGUUAUAAGAAGGCCAUCUAUGAAUACAUUUAAGAAAAGAUCAAAACCAAGCUGAGUUUUAUCAUAUACCAGCAUAGAGCUUGACCAAUCUGGAUAUGAAGAUGAAAACAUGUGAUAACAUAUACUCCAUCCAUUCCAUUUUAUAUGGUACUUUCCAUUCUUGGACGUCUUAACGAAGUGCUGCAAUGGCAUGAUCUUUUAGGUGAUAACAACUCGGGGGAAAAGACCUUCAAUAACAAUUAAAAUAGAAUUGUUAUCUAGACACCAUCGAGCUACAAAAACGAAACAAUGCAGUUGGAUUUAUAGAACUCAACUUUGAAGAAGAAACUAAACAAAUUGCCACUCAUUGUAUUAUUUUUAAUAAAAAUAAAUAUUCUUGAAAAUCUAAUUAUGUAAUGUUUGAAUGUUGAAUAAUGCCAUACGAUUUCACAAAAUAACCUUAAAGCCUGUUUCUUUCCCUCUAUUUUAGUAUCAAAUGGAAAUUUGAAGUCAAGCCUUUGAAUGUAAUGUUACUUUUGACUAGCACAUGACAAUAUUCAUAAUAGGAAUGGGGUCUGGAGAAGGCAACCUUAUAUGUUGUAUUAUCUAUUGUUGCUCCUGAGAGAUGAAUUUGAUUGAUUGUCUAAUCAAUAGUUUUUAUGACUCUAGAAGUUUAGAAUAUUUGCCUCUACUAUACAGACAAAUUAAGAAUAACUAGAUCAUGAAAGAUAAGUAAUUCCAUACAGAGAGAUCAGACCAUCACCUGCAGAAGUUCUCUACAGAUAUCUAAAGUAAGAAAUUCCUCGCUGAAGAACCUUCCCGUUGAGAGAAAUUGAAACACUGGCAACACAAUUUCAUAUAACUUAGGUGGGAAAGAAGAGGAAGAGGAAGAGGAAGAGGAAGAGGAAGAGGAAGAGGAAGAGGAAGAGGAAGAGGAGGAAAGAAAGUUAAUCUGUAAAAAUAUUAGUCAUCAUUUUAACUGACUUGUCAACAUCGAUUCCAUUUCGACCAUUAGCAACAAUAUCAUACAAGAAAUGCUUUUCUCACGUGUUCUGCAUAUUACAUAAAAUAAAAUAUAAUGGAUAUAGUUCAUAUAUGACUACAAAGUUCAACAUAUAAUAAAUUUCCUGAAAUAGAAGAUAACGGAUUAAAGCAAAGACAAAAAAAUUAAUAUAACAACUUACAUUUGGCAGAGUGAAAUCAGAACUCAAAUUUUUGGGGUCUGGAACUCUUUUAGCAGUCAAAAUUCCAGAGUGUCAAGAACUCUACUACUAUAUCAGCAUUCACCAAAUCAGACAUAAAAAAAAAGUAGGCUGCUGCUAAAGUUGCAUGACUACAAAGUUUAACCUGUAAGCAUACACAGUUUGUACAGAUGAAUUACUCCCCAAACAUGAUCUGCCUAGAAAUGGCAUCACAGCUCAGAAGCACUUGUAACACAGAUUUACUCCUGAUGGAAUAUGGUGACAAACGCAACACAGAUUUAACAAAUAUAGAGGAAACUAGGUCAAAUUUUUAGCAUUGAUAGAUUUAUUAGAUUAAAAUUAGGAUACCAUGUGGAUAUAAAUGCUGUACAGGAGAUAUGUUAAGAAAAUAUAAUUCUGACAACACAUACAUCUCACUCCCUACAUAAACAUACAACAGAAGACAUAAAUGUCCUGAAUCUAGUGCUUGUCAUAGCUUCGUUGCAUCAGGCAAAGAACCAUGCAUAACAUAAUACACAAAACAAGAUACAGGUGAAAAUUUGGCAUCCAUUCCACCAAAAAAUAUUUAAUAAUGUUGGAUACCAACAAAGUUCUUGUAUAACACUUUGGGCAUGAAAGUUAAAAUGAAGCACAGAAUAUAGAAUCCAUAUAGUCAUGUUAGUCAUGGUAAGAUUUUUCAUCAUUUUCAGCUAAUUAUUCUAUAUUUUAGCAAGAAUUAAGGACUAGUUUUUAAAAGAUCUAGUUUCUGUUAUAAGCUUUAGCAAGUUUCAACACAAUCAAUAAGGUUUGAACACUGAUCACUCAAUGCAUUGUUAUCUAAUGACUGCUGCUGUCCAUCUUUGGCAUGUGAUUCACUGUUUGAUUUAUGUACUCUACCUGCAUCUUCAUGUGUUAUCUAUUCACAGUCAUUAGAUAACAAUGCAUUCAGUAAUCAGUGUUAUAACAGAUUCUAAAAGAUCUAGUUUCUGUUAUAAGCUUUAGCAAGAUUAUACACUUCCAAGAUAACCAAUUAGUGUGAAUGGGAGAACAAACUGUAACUAGAUGCCUAUAAUUAGAUGCAUCAAUUGAACCUGAAAUGGGCAGACAACAAGUGGACCAAAAAGAUCACCUUGCACAUUUGAGGCACCAAUUGAACAAAUCGCAUUCUUAAGCCCACGUGAGUUCAGGUAUUCCUCAGCAUCCUUCGGCAGAGAAUAUC